GUCAAUAUGUACGAGUGGUUAAGGAGACAGACUCGAAAUCUGUUGGCCUGCGCAGGUUCGAAUCCUGCUGUUGACG